rnacentral:rRNA from 1 species
CCUACGGGUGGCAGCAGUGGGGAAUAUUGGACAAUGGGCGAAAGCCUGAUCCAGCCAUGCCGCGUUUGUGAAGAAGGCCUUCGGGUUGUAAAGCACUUUCAGUGGGGAAGAAAGCCUUGGGGCUAAUACCCUCGAGGAAGGACAUCACCCACAGAAGAAGCACCGGCUAACUCCGUGCCAGCAGCCGCGGUAAUACGGAGGGUGCGAGCGUUAAUCGGAAUUACUGGGCGUAAAGCGCGCGUAGGCGGUCUGAUAAGCCGGUUGUGAAAGCCCCGGGCUCAACCUGGGAACGGCAUCCGGAACUGUCAGGCUAGAGUGCAGGAGAGGAAGGUAGAAUUCCCGGUGUAGCGGUGAAAUGCGUAGAGAUCGGGAGGAAUACCAGUGGCGAAGGCGGCCUUCUGGACUGACACUGACGCUGAGGUGCGAAAGCGUGGGUAGCAAACAGGAUUAGAUACCCGGGUAGUC